rnacentral:rRNA from 1 species
GACGAACGCUGGCGGCGUGCCUAAUACAUGCAAGUCGAACGCUUCUUUCCUCCCGAGUGCUUGCACUCAAUUGGAAAGAGGAGUGGCGGACGGGUGAGUAACACGUGGGUAACCUACCCAUCAGAGGGGGAUAACACUUGGAAACAGGUGCUAAUACCGCAUAACAGUUUAUGCCGCAUGGCAUAAGAGUGAAAGGCGCUUUCGGGUGUCGCUGAUGGAUGGACCCGCGGUGCAUUAGCUAGUUGGUGAGGUAACGGCUCACCAAGGCCACGAUGCAUAGCCGACCUGAGAGGGUGAUCGGCCACCCUGGGACUGGGACACGGCCCAGACUCCUACGGGAGGCAGCAGUAGGGAAUCUUCGGCAAUGGACGAAAGUCUGACCGAGCAACGCCGCGUGAGUGAAGAAGGUUUUCGGAUCGUAAAACUCUGUUGUUAGAGAAGAACAAGGACGUUAGUAACUGAACGUCCCCUGACGGUAUCUAACCAGAAAGCCACGGCUAACUACGUG